GGAUUGAAGAGUGAAAGAUCAAGAGAGAAUGAUUCCUUGGGAGCGGCAGUUGACAAAGCAAAUUACAGAAUAUACUCAGUGAGAAUCAGAUGAAACACGGGAGAUAAAAGGCUCCGGACCAAGGGGUCCCAGAGAAGCAUUCAGAGGAGAAAGGCUGCAACCAGGAAGUCCACACACUCACAGCUGCUUCCAGGCCCCGGUACUCACCCAGUAACAAAGCCACUUCUGUCUGGAAAAACCACAGCAAGGGUCCUGAGCCAUCUUUCUGCCUUUUUGCUAUUCCGCCCUGAGCAUGCUAUGGGCCAGUGUCCUGGGUUCUCAGCUCACCCUCUCUCCAUCAAGAUGUUUCUAUCCGGAUUCUACCUCCUCAAACCUUGCCACCAGAUUAAUAGUGGCCUUUGGAGCUUCAACUCAGAGGAAUUAUUUAUCUGGGAAAGUUGGGCAGUCGGUGUCCAGAGAUUAGGGACUUUUGGGUUGGACAAUCCCUGGUUCCCAUGAAAUUGCUCCGUGAAAGAACCCUCUGAGCAUAAUUGAGCCAGCCUCAAUGUACCCAGUUAAAGCUUUUUGGUAUUGAUCCAACCCCAUGUUGAUCUCAUCUCCCUCCACACUGAAAGAAUCCAAUCUAUUCUGCACUAUUUUGUGCUUGUUGAAAACUCUAAGUGAAGGAGAACCAGAAAUCAUAUCUUAGAUUAUAUUAGUCACUACUGAUAUGGUCACCUGUGCCUGAAAACAAAUUGACUCAUGGUGCUGAGCAAGGCCUUUAUGAGAUAAGACAACAGCUGGAUUCACUGUCUCAGUUCCUGAAAGAGAACAGAGACCAACUAGGAUCAGUACAUUCCCGAGCCUGGCUAAAGAGAGAUUGUCACGUGCUAUAAUUCAGGGGAAAAAUUAAUCUGGAAGUUUCUAUCUCCCUUAGCU
rnacentral:lncRNA from 1 species